rnacentral:lncRNA from 1 species
CGGAGCCCAGUCCAAGCAGCCUGCUCUAUUUUUAGGAUCUUCCUCCUGCUGCACCAGCCCGGAGCUCAAACAGCCCCUGCAGAGAGGAGGCCAAGGAAUGCAGGGGCCGGGGACAGACAGAAACUCCGGCUCGUCCCUACCUCCUUGACCCACUCUGCCACAACCCUCUCCAUGACACCAGCUCUAGGAGGGGGUUCUCGGCUAGCAAACCUCUGAGCCAAGAGCACCAUGGCUGCCGUCCUCCAUGGGGACAAAGUUUCCAGCCUUGCAGCAGAGGCCGGAAAGAGCACGCCACAGGCUUGUGCCGGCAGAGCUGCAGGGCCCUGGCAUGGAUGGCAAGCGGCCGAGGUGACAUGCAGGGAAGGGGGGCAGGGCAAUGGGCUUCCACUGCGCAGCUCCAGACCACACCUGUGAAGCCUGCACCUGCUGGGCAGUUUCAGAGCAGACAAAACUGCAAUGGAAAACAAGGCUUCUUUCCUGGAGUGGCUGGAAGAAGAGGACAUUUCAACAGUGCCAAGGUCAGGCUCGGGUACCGGUGCUUCCUGUCCAGCGUCCUGGCCACUCCUGGCCUCCGACACCAAGAUCUGCCUGCCUCCUCCUGCUCGUCCGCUGCUGAGGAAUCUGACUCCCCAACAGCUAUGGAGCGGCCAAUUAAGGGCCCAAAUGGAGGAGUCAAAUCUCUGGCUUUUUCACUGCAAUCAACAGAAUCCUCUUCUGAGUUGUAAAGAAGCAGUAGAAACCCACAGAAGUGCUAUCAAGGGCACUGAGCAGUAUCCUUUUAUGAACUCGAACUCUGAAAAUACCUCCCAUCAAGUGUCUUCUAUGCAGAGAUGACCUGCAGAAAUUGUAACUGCUCUGGCAGGACACUGGGCUAAUCAGAAAACAACACUGCCUGGACCCAGAAAUCUCAGUCCUCAUCAGAAGUGGGUGGGGGCCUGGCGUAUGUAUUUGGUGAGAGCCAGGGUGCCUGGCCUCCAUCUAUCAGGCAUCGGGUAUUCUCCAGAAGCCUUCUAUAGACUGCUGAGCUCAGGCAGCAGCUUAUGGGUCUUAAGUCAGGCUGAGGAAGAAUUUUCUGACCAUAAUUAGGGGAUUUAAAACUUUAAGUGCAUUUGUGAGGCAGUCUUGGGAACCUGGCUCCAAGUUCUGCAGCUCUUAGAAACGUGUUAGACUUUUGGGAGAAGCUGAAUCAGUGAUUUCUUAGAUGAAUUGCAAAAACACCCUGGAGUGUCAUAGAAGCCUGGUCUUCCCUAAUGCCUGCUUUAAGCGAUUAUACAAAUACUAGGCUAUGAUUUCAUUUUUCAAAUGAGAAUUUACUUUUGACCAGUUUCAAAAAUGUUAAUACAAAAUGGUGCCCAUGUAAUAAAUGUGCCUUCCAGCAAGCAGCAAGCUUUGGGCUGGACAGGCCUUGACGGCUUAGCUUCCCCUCUGGCAUGUUCAGCUAACUGCGGGGGUGUCUGUCACAUAAUGGUCACCACUUACAAACAUCUACCUGUGGGGACCACAGUUGCCCCACUCCCAGACCACCCUGAGCCUCACAGAACUCCAACUGCCACCACCAACUUCCAAAUAAAACUUGUUGUCUAAUUGAAAUGGCCCUUAUUACUCCAGUUGGCUGGCUUUUAAUGAGCAAGUGAGACACAGCUGUGCUUACAAAAUAAAUUCAUAUAAACGUAACCCUAAUGCCAUUUCUGCUACCACUGUUUAUUCAUGUUUCAUAGCUAUUUCUUUGGGGGAAAAUGUCAUAGCUAAAAAUAACUUUGAGAACCGCCAGUUUAAAGGAGGGUGGGUGGCUUCCAAAUUCUUGCCCAAUUUGAUUAUUUAUCCCAACACUCGUUCCAGCUACAUCAAAGAAAUGACAUUCGAAUAGGGAAGAAUAGCUACGGUGCUGUGAACAAAGUGUGCCCAAAUGAGCUGCACACGUAUGUUCAGUACGCCACCCGAGGGUGUCCCAUGUAUCCCUGGGACGGAUGGCGGGACCUGUGCCUGCAGAAAUUCCUCCCUCACAUAAACGACUCGGCAUUUGCAUAUAAAUCUACAUGCAUCCUCCCUCCCGCAUACUUUAAAUCAUCUCUAGGUUAUGUACAAUCCCUAAUAUAGUACAGA